UCCCAGUUCAUUCUGAUUUUGAAAGGAACUUCCAGGUCUCCAGUUCAUGCCAGGGACCAAAGAAGGAGAAAAAACUCUUCCACCUAUUGCAGCAGCUUCACCAACAUUACAAGAAUCAACCAUACCAGAUCCAUCAUUAAUCUUGCCAGUCUGAGGCAAGAUCAUUCGAUUACUUAAUGGGGAAGUCAAGGGUUGGACCAUUCCAC
rnacentral:misc_RNA from 1 species